UACGUAGGGACCGAGCGUUGUCCGGAUUCAUUGGGCGUAAAGAGCUCGUAGGCGGCUGUUCAAGUCGAACGUGAAAACUCGGAGCUCAACUCCGAGCCUGCGUUCGAUACUGGACGGCUAGAGUCUGGUAGGGGGAUCUGGAAUUCCUGGUGUAGCGGUGAAAUGCGCAGAUAUCAGGAGGAACACCUAUUGCGAAGGCAGCUCGCUGGGACGUAACUGACGCUGAGACGCGAAAGCGUGGGGAGCAAACAGG
rnacentral:rRNA from 1 species